GGGCGCGCGUUGAGGCUGCGGUCAUGGAGGGAGCAGGAGCUGGAUCCGGCUUCCGGAAGGAGCUGGUGAGCAGGCUGCUGCACCUGCACUUCAAGGAUGACAAGACCAAAGGUGCGGGUGGGGGUGCGGGCGGGAGGUGGGUCCCCGUGUCUGUCCUCAGGGACCCUUUCCUGCAACUCUGCAGGGCCAAGGCCUCGGGAGGGCGGGGGUAUGUCUGGAGCACCCAGCCAGAGCGGUGGGUGAGGGUCCCGCAUAACCUCCCCCUGCCUUGCAGUGAGCGGGGACGCGCUGCAGCUCAUGGUGGAGUUGCUGAAGGUCUUCGUUGUGGGUGAGCCCAGGGCCCACGCUCCCUCCGGGCACAGCAUCCGGAAUUUUGCGUUUUUCCAGCGGGAAAACCAAGACGUGUUUUCCCGUUUCCCACAAGGGCCUAAACUUGGGUCUCCUGAGCCUGUUUGUCAGGUGCUGUGGCCUGGUUCUGGGGGCUGCCCGUGGGUGUUGGGGGGGGCACCGGCCCAGGCUGAGGCCCUCACUGGGCUCGGGUUUAAGAUCCCCCCAGCAUCCCCCACCUCUCGCGUUUCUCACCGCAGAAGCAGCAGUCCGCGGCGUGCGGCAGGCCCAGGCAGAAGACGCGCUCCGUGUGGACGUGGACCAGCUGGAGAAGGUGCUUCCGCAGCUGCUCCUGGACUUCUAGGGAUCUCAGCCGUGGCUGAGGCCACCCCCAGAGGAGCCCCUGGUCCAC
rnacentral:lncRNA from 1 species